rnacentral:rRNA from 1 species
GUUAGGAAUAUUGGACAAUGGGCGAAAGCCUGAUCCAGCAAUGCCGCGUGAGUGAUGAAGGCCCUAGGGUUGUAAAGCUCUUUUACCCGGGAUGAUAAUGACAGUACCGGGAGAAUAAGCUCCGGCUAACUUCGUGCCAGCAGCCGCGGUAAUACGAGGGGAGCUAGCGUUGUUCGGAAUUACUGGGCGUAAAGCGCGCGUAGGCGGUUUUUUAAGUCAGAGGUGAAAGCCCGGGGCUCAACCCCGGAAUAGCCUUUGAAACUGGAAAACUAGAAUCUUGGAGAGGUCAGUGGAAUUCCGAGUGUAGAGGUGAAAUUCGUAGAUAUUCGGAAGAACACCAGUGGCGAAGGCGACUGACUGGACAAGUAUUGACGCUGAGGUGCGAAAGCGUGGGGAGCAAACAGGAUUAGAUACCCCGGUAGUCC